GCCGGGGUAGCUCAGAUGGUAGAGCAGUGGACUGAAAAUCCACGUGUCCGCAGUUCGAUUCUGCGCCCCGGCACCA
rnacentral:tRNA from 1 species